rnacentral:rRNA from 1 species
UACGGGGGGGGCAAGCGUUGUUCGGAAUUACUGGGCGUAAAGGGUUCGUAGGUGGCCAACUUAGUCAGACGUGAAAUCCCUCAGCUUAACUGGGGAACUGCCUUUGAUACUGGCGAUCUCGAGUCCGGGAGAGGUGAGUGGAACUGCGAGUGUAGAGGUGAAAUUCGUAGAUAUUCGCAAGAACACCAGUGGCGAAGGCGGCUCACUGGCCCGGUACUGACGCUCAUGUGCGAAAGCGUGGGGAGCAAACAGG